rnacentral:rRNA from 1 species
CAGCAGCCGCGGUAAUACGUAGGUGGCAAGCGUUGUCCGGAAUUAUUGGGCGUAAAGGGCUCGCAGGCGGUUUCUUAAGUCUGAUGUGAAAGCCCCCGGCUCAACCGGGGAGGGUCAUUGGAAACUGGGAAACUUGAGUGCAGAAGAGGAGAGUGGAAUUCCACGUGUAGCGGUGAAAUGCGUAGAGAUGUGGAGGAACACCAGUGGCGAAGGCGACUCUCUGGUCUGUAACUGACGCUGAGGGGCGAAAGCGUGGGGAGCGAACAGGAUUAGAUACCCCAGUAGUCCCUGUCUCUUAUAU